rnacentral:rRNA from 1 species
UACGAAGGGGGCUAGCGUUGCUCGGAAUUACUGGGCGUAAAGGGCGCGUAGGCGGAUAGUUUAGUCAGAGGUGAAAGCCCAGGGCUCAACCUUGGAACUGCCUUUGAUACUGGCUAUCUUGAGUUCGGGAGAGGUGAGUGGAAUGCCGAGUGUAGAGGUGAAAUUCGUAGAUAUUCGCAAGAACACCAGUGGCGAAGGCGGCUCACUGGCCCGGUACUGACGCUGAGGUGCGAAAGCGUGGGGAGCAAACAGG